rnacentral:rRNA from 1 species
AGGACGAACGCUGGCGGCGUGCCUAACACAUGCAAGUCGAACGGUGAAUGGGAGCUUGCUCCCCGGAUCAGUGGCGAACGGGUGAGUAACACGUGGGCAACCUGCCCCUAGCUCUGGGAUAACUCCGGGAAACCGGGGCUAAUACCGGAUACGACAUCUAGUGACAUCACUUGAUGUGGAAAGUUUUUCGGCUAGGGAUGGGCCCGCGGCCUAUCAGCUUGUUGGUGGGGUAACGGCCCACCAAGGCGACGACGGGUAGCCGGCCUGAGAGGGCGACCGGCCACACUGGGACUGAGACACGGCCCAGACUCCUACGGGAGGCAGCAGUGGGGAAUAUUGCGCAAUGGGCGAAAGCCUGACGCAGCGACGCCGCGUGAGGGACGAAGGCCUUCGGGUUGUAAACCUCUUUCAGCAGGGACGAAGCCGCAAGGUGACUGUACCUGCAGAAGAAGCACCGGCUAACUACGCGCCAGCAGCCGCGGUAA